GAUGAAGAACGCAGCGAAAUGCGAUAAGUAAUGUGAAUUGCAGAAUUCAGUGAAUCAUCGAAUCUUUGAACGCAUCUUGCGCUCCUUGGUAUUCUGAGGAGCAUGCCUGUUUGAGUGUCAUUAAAUUCUCAACUACACUGACUUUGAAUUGGUGUGGCUUGGAUUUGGGGGGAAAAUUGUUGUGGGCUUUUUGUAUAGUCUGCUCCCCUGAAAUUGAUUAGCGGUACCUUUGUGGAACUGUCUACAGGUGUGAUAAUUAUCUACAUCUUAGACAUCUGCUGGAAUGCUGCUUUCUAAACCUUACUGUAUUGACAAUCUUGACCUCAAAUCAGGUAGGACUACCCGCUGAACUUAAGCAUAUCAAUAAGCGGAGGA
rnacentral:misc_RNA from 1 species